GGAAAUCAGUACAGGAUCUUAGGACACGCCUUGAACAGAGACCCACAGACCAUCCCUUUGGUCUUCGCCAAGAGGAUGGUUAAUGCUAAAGACUUGUUAGAUUGUAUGUGGCAGAGAAAACGGGAGGCGGGGGGACUGGAGCAUGAAAAAGUGAGGGUCCACAGCCAGCGCACACCUCAAUAUACUCUUCUGAUACAUCUCACUUCUGCUCGCUUGCUCUCCCCCGUUCCUAGAUGCUUCCAUUCACUACUAGAUAAGGUGAACUUAUCCAGCGGUGACCAGAAAGCCUUAGUGCUUAGCUGUUUUUGAAAGGUCAAUGAACUGAGAUCCAACUCUGCAUCGGAGACUGGUGACUAAGGUAUAGUGUGUAUUAACCACUAAGUAUAAGCCUGAGGUGGUGGCAUAUGCCUGUGGUAAUCCCAAAACUAAAGAGAUUGAAGCAGGAGGAUUGCCUCGAGUUUAAGCUUGGGGUACAUGUCUAGAACCUGCCUUUUAAAAAGAGCAGAGCCAAGCGCGGUGGCAUAUGCCUGUAUCGAAGAACUCGGAGGUUUGCAAACUGAACCUAGAGGAUCACCACUGGUCUGGAGCCGAGCUGAGCUACACGGUAAGAUACAAUCAUCUGGGCUACAUAAGACCUUGUCACAAAACAAACAAACGCAAGCAGGGGCAUCCAAAUUUGACAUACUGUUCUCCUGACCCUCCAAACUGUCCCCAGACUGCACUCUGGCAUCUUCACUUUACCAACAGAAAAACAGGACCACAGAGAUUAAGUAGUCUGCCCAAAGUCACAAAGCUGGUACUAGCGAUAGCACUAACUGGUCACUAACUACUGGUGGAGCGACGCCUACAUGUUGAAAUAAAGUCCUCGUCACCGCUCACUACCGUCAUAUGGGGAAAAUUUGGAAGAAAAAUGUUCCAGAUAAACGACAUAAAUCCCUCUUCCUCAUGUAAAGUCUACUCAGUAAUCAAGUAGAUUUGACUACAAAACUAGGCUAGCACAAUGUCCCAGUCUUCCGGGCCAAACCACGGAUUAAACAGCUCUGUCACCUGUUGCCUGAGUUUCCCAAGUUCUCUCUGCACACGCUCCACAAGGGUUACUGCUUCUUCGCCACUCUCUGGGCGCAACUCCUGCACCCUGCUCUGAAUCUCUUGGGGAAGGAUAGUCAAGAACUGCUCCAGCACCAAUAGCUCCAGUAUCUGCUCCUUGGUGCGCAACUCCGGCCGUAGCCACCCAUGGCAAAGCUCCUGAAGCUGGCUAAGGGCCUCUCGGGGACCAGAGGCCUCUUGAAAGCGGAACCGUCGAAAACGCAGGUGGGAGGCCUCCGGGCUGGAGUCUGGGUCCGGCGGGGGUACCUCCUGGCUCCAGGUGCUGUCCUCCUCCAGUUUCACUAUCAGGAGCCCUUCCGGCUCCUGGGAGCCCGGACCAGCAGCCAUGCUCAAUGCCCCCAGAGUGCCUGGGUCGCCUCGAAAGACGCCCUACGUUCCGUCCAACAGUAGAGCACGACCGCAGUAGCCGAGAGGGCCGGGGCUCCAAAUCCCGCCGGAAGAACCCAGUUCGAAGUCUGGCAAUAGCCCGGCAGCGUCUCCACCUGACCGGCUUCUCAGGCUCGCACAGAAUUUAGCCCUCAACGGCCGCGGCGGAAGUUUCAGCGCGCGAGUUAGGCGUCAUAAGCCAACGGCCGCUCGUCGGGACGGACUUCCGGUUCACGCUUUGCUUACUCUGUCUCCCAUUGGGUCGGGUCUCGCCACGUACUCACUGCCGACUCACGACAGGGGAAAAAAAUUUGCAUCGAAGAGCGGGAGGAGACACUGGCCAUGUGUUGAUGAGAGGCGGGACUACGGAGUGGGCGAGGCAGCCAGCUCAAGUCUAUGGCUGUGACUGUCAUUCGAAAGGAAGAAAAGAAGGAAACACCAGGAGGGCUCCCUUCUCUUUUGAAGAGAGACUGCCCAGGCCUGAGACUGGAGCAUGCCUGUGACAGCUCAUGGAGUCCGCAGAUCCUAGGAGUGUGUCGCGAAAACCAGUAAUAAUGAACACAUACAUGAAAUAGGACCUUCACUGUAUUGUAUGAAGGAGGCUCUAUUAUAAGUCCUGUGAUUGUGGCAUUGAGUGUCAGUUAAGUGUGUGCCCAAGAUCACACAGCUAUCCUAUCGCAAAAGCUUAGGCUGAGGAAAUAAAAAUGGUCUGUUUUGGA